AGCAGCCGCGGUAAUUCCAGCUCCAAUAGCGUAUAUUAAAGUUGUUGCAGUUAAAAAGCUCGUAGUUGAAUUUCGGGGUCAGUAGGUUGGUCAUGCCACAGGUAUGUACUGAUCUUACUGAUUCCUCCUUCCUGAUGAACCGUAAUGCCAUUAAUUUGGUGUUGCGGGGAAACUGGACUGUUACUUUGAAAAAAUUAGAGUGUUUAAAGCAGGCUAACGCUUGAAUACAUUAGCAUGGAAUAAUGAAAUAGGACGUUCGAUCCUAUUUUGUUGGUUUCUAGGAUUGACGUAAUGAUUAAUAGGGAUAGUUGGGGGCAUUAGUAUUCAAUUGUCAGAGGUGAAAUUCUUGGAUUUAUUGAAGACUAACUACUGCGAAAGCAUUCGCCAAGGAUGUUUUCAUUAAUCAAGAACGAAAGUUAGGGGAUCGAAGACGAUCAGAUACCGUCGUAGUCUUAACCAUAAACUAUGCCGACUAGGGAUCGGAUGAUGUUAAUUUUUUAAUGACUCAUUCGGCGCCUUACG
rnacentral:rRNA from 1 species